rnacentral:rRNA from 1 species
GACGAACGCUGGCGGCGUGCUUAACACAUGCAAGUCGAACGAAGUGGCGAACGGGUGAGUAACGCGUAAUCAACCUGCCCUUCAGAGGGGGACAACAGUUGGCAACGACUGCUAAUACCGCAUACUGAAGGAGGGGAUUGCGUCUGAUUAGCUAGUUGUGGGGGUAACGGCCCACCAAGGCGAGGAUCAGUCGCCGGUCUGAGAGGAUGAACGGCCAAAUGGGGACUGAGACACGGGCCAGAAUCCUACGGGAGGCAGCAGUGGGGAAGCUUCCGAAAUGGACGGAAGUCUGACGGAGCAACGCCGCGGGAGUGAUGACGGCCUUCGGGUUGUAAAGCUCUGUUAAUCGGGACGCGGUACCGGAAUAGAAAGCCACGGCUAACUACGUGCCAGCAGCCGCGGUAAUUC